UGGACAGAAAGACCCUAUGAAGCUUUACUGUAACUUGAAAUUGGAAUUGGACUUUAGUCGCGCAGUAUAGGUGGGAGGCUUUGAUGAUAUUCUUGCGGGAAUAUUGGAGCUAUCAGUGAGAUACCACUCUUCUAAUGUUAGAUUUCUAACUUUGAACCAUUAUCUGGUCAGAGAACAGUUUCAGGCGGGCAGUUUGACUGGGGCGGUCGCCUCCCAAAUGGUAACGGAGGCGUACAAAGGUUUCCUCUGAACGGGUAGAAAUCGUAUCUAGAGUGUAAAGGCAUAAGGAAGCUUGACUGUGAGACCUACAAGUCGAACAGGGACGAAAGUCGGUCUUAGUGAUCUGACGGUACUGAGUGGAAAGGCCGUCACUCAACGGAUAAAAAGUUACUCUAGGGAUA
rnacentral:rRNA from 1 species